rnacentral:antisense_RNA from 1 species
GGCCUCCCUCCGCCUCUAGCUGACCACAUUUCUGGGGCCGGUCUCAUUUGCUUACGCUAAAGUGGACCUAUGGGGUCAAAGGGCAUUACAGGCUUUUUGGCAGAUGCAGCUGAAGGACCUCUGGAAGGACUGUGCCAACGCAUGCACCAGCCUGCGUGGUCCCCCAUCCCUGUGGCUGGUGAUCCUGGGGUGACACCCUGAUCCAGACUCUGUCUUUAUCCCGUAAUAGAGGAGAAGGCACGUCACUGCCACAGGUGCCUUUCCUCCCAUGCCACAGCAAGAUGCAGACAAGCCACCCUCCCCAGACACACCCACUGCACGCUGCAGCAGGGCCCAGGGAGUUGAAUGUUCAGUCCAGGCCUCGCCCCCGUGGCUCAGUGAGACGCAGGGGGCCACACAGAAAUGCCAGAGGCAGCCUUCAAUGAGGAAAAGUCUAUAAGGCCCCAAAAGGCCUGGAUGCUUCAAGUCCAAGCACUCGGGGAUGGCGGAGGGAAGGUGCCGCCCUCAUCACAGGCUGGGCAUGGCUUCCCAGGGGGGAUGCCAGGGACAGGCUCCAGAUGUUUGGAGCCUCAGCGUGCCCAAUGCUACUAGGUCAGACCUGGCUUUCACCUCCACAGUCCUUAAGAGCUGGUUCAAGACUGGGGUAUGAAUGAACCUUACCUCCGACCCACUGAGCAGAGCGUGCCACGUCCUACCUGAGCCUGCUGCCUGAGCCUCAUGCCCCAAUGAGCAGAGCGUGCCGGGGGCUUGUGGGGGCUCAGGAAGACGGGUCCUACCCAAGACUGCCACCUGAGUCUCACGCUGCAGCCCAGAGGUAGGACAGCACCGCAGCCCCUCUUGAAGAACCCAGGGUCACCAAGGUCUGCUUGGACAAUGGGCUGGCUGCCACGCCCCGACCCUGCCCAUGCCACCCAGGGCCUCCCCAGCCCUGCCACUCACCAUAUGCUUCCUGCAGGUCAGCGGGACGAGGCCGUGGCAGCGCUUAUGGACCAGCAGUUUGCAGUUGAUGCACCUGUAGCCUUGCCUCGCGAGGCCCCAUAUCCUCUCGCUGCACUGACCGCAGUACGCUCUCUGCAGGCGGGAACAGAGCAUCAGGCCCAGGCCACGCUGAGGGGCCAGCGGAGAGGACAGGCAGGGCCUUCCACACCUGUACCUUCUCAAAAGAGGACACUCAGCUGGGCAACAGGCGGCCCCGGCACCUUGUCCCUUCCGGGCGCCAGGCUUGCCCAAGCUCGAUAGCCUCCUCUUGGGUCUAUCCCAAGGUUGGGGGAACCAACGGCUCCAAGGAGAGGCCUGGAACCCUGGUCUGCAUGAGGGGACACAGGGGAGGUGCCAUCGGGCAGGGGUGAUGAGGUGCUGCUUCACGCAAGGCCCCCUGGCUUGCAGGGGCUGGGGGGCUGCAGCUCCUGCUGGGCUCUGCAUAGAGCAGCCCGGGGUCCCGUCUAGGGCUAAGCAGAGUGUGUGGGGGCACCCCCUGCCUGACCUUCAUUCAAACAGAACCUCCUCCCGACAGCCUCAGGGAAGGGGAACUCGGACCCAUGAACACUGAACUGCUACACGGCAGCCUGCAAUUAUCUUGGUAUUCUUUGUUCAGUAUUUUUCAAGAUUUUAAAGGAUCCUUCUUUAUUCUUCAUGGUACUGAACAAUUCGGAAAUGAUGGUAAUUAUCAGCUUGUUUGGCGAUGUUUUCAUCAACAUUUAAAUGUUAUGAAAGGCACGAGAAUGAAUGUUGUCGGGACCUGCUUGGACAUUUUCUGCCUUGCCUAAGUGCCCGAAGUGUUCCUGGGAGUAAAGGGGCGCAUCUGCACUGUCACCGCAUGCCCAGAGCCUCCAAUUCAGAUUCUUUCCAGACAUGACCCUUUCAUAUGCUUUUCCCUCUUUUACCAUUUUUCACAAAUUUCCUUCCUAUUACAGAGCUCACCUCACACCUGAGUUAAGAAGAGGAAAUAUAGCCUGUAAUCCCAGCACUUUGGGAGGCCGAGGUGGGCGGAUCACGCGGUCAGGAGAUCGAGACCAUCCUGGCUAACACGGUGAAACCCCAUCUCUACUAAAAAUACAAAAAAAUUAGCCAGGCAUGGUGGCGGGCACCUGUAGUCCCAGCUACUCGGGAGGCUGAGGCAGGAGAAUGGCGUGAAUCCAGGAGGCGGAUCUUGCAGUGAGCCGAGAUUGCGUCACUGCACUCCAGCCUGGGCGACAGUGAGACUCCGUCUCAAAAAAAAAAAAAAAAAAAGAAGAGGAAAUACAGUGUACUGUGAACAGCCUGCACUGAAUUCACAUGAGGAAACAGGACUGAAGAGAAAAUACAGCAGAGUUCACGUGAGGAAACAGGGGACCCUCAGCAUGUGUGAGCAUCAGGUGCGGCUGAGCAAAGGGGGUCCACACCCCCUACGGGACUCUCCCGCUCAUCAGAAGAGCCUGCUUGGGACGCCAGGGCCUGGGGACCCUCCCCCCACCCACACAGCCUGCUUGUUUGGGUAGGGCUGGAUGACCAGCACCUAGGACAGUGCCCAGCACACAGUGGGCAUCGGGUAAGAAAACACACAUGCAUCAUUGCUUUUAACUUCAUAACAGGAAAAAGGAGCAGACUCCACAUCCUCCUACAUCAGCUGAUGCUACCUACAUCAGCCCGGCCAUGACAGAGCCACACCAGGACCGUAGGCUCUAUUUGAAGGAGGGAUGGGUGAGAGGGGGCAUCCCACCCAAGACCUCUGACUCGGGCCAAUCUAGUUUAACGCCGGCAUUAGGAGUUUUGCCCCAGUUGGCACCUGCUGGAUGUGUGGACCCUGGAGUGAAAGGAGGUGCUUCAGCUGCUGAAUGCCUGGACCCUGGAGUGAAAGAAGGCGCUUCGGCUGCUGGAUGUGUGGACCCUGGAGUGAAAGGAGGCGCUUCGGCUGCUGGAUGUGUGGACCCUGGAGUGAAAGGAGGCGCUUCAGCCGCUGAAUGCCUGGACCUUGGAGUGAAAGGAGGCGCUUCGGCUGCUGGAUGUGUGGACCCUGGAGUUAAAGGAGGUGCUUCAGCUGCUGAAUGCCUGGACCCUGGAGUGAAAGGAGGCGUUUUGGCUGCUGGAUGUGUGGACCCUGGAGUGAAAGGAGGCGCUUUGGCUGUGCAGACCUGCUCCAUUCUCCUCUGCGUCCACAGCGCAGAAGAACACCAGCUUCCAUUUCUAAAACCAUUAUUUAAAAGUCAAGUUUUUUUGGUAUAAUGUGCCUAAUGUGUUUGGCUUUCUCUAGGUCACCAUUUAACAUCUUACUCUGCAACGCUAGGGUCCUAUUUAAGACCAAAUUCACAGCCACCAGGUAUCUUUACAAAUUAACCAAGGUUGGCCAGGCACAGUGGCUCAUGCCUGUAAUCCCAGCACUUUGGGAGGCCAAGGUGGGCGGAUCACUUGAGGUCAGGAGUUCGAGACCAGCCUGACCAACAUGGAGAAACCCCAUCUCUACUAAAAGUACAAAAAUUAGCUGGGUGUGGUGGCGCACAUCUGUAAUCCCAGCUACUCGGGAGGCUGAAGCAGGAGAAUCGCUUGAAACCAGGAGGCAGAGGUUGCAGUGAGCCGAGAUCACGCCACUGCACUCCAGCCUGGGCAACAGAGUGAGACUGUGUCUCAAAAAACAAAAAACAAAUGGAUCCAAGGUUCCUUUCCGUGGGGAGCCACCCUUACCUGGGGUCAGGCCAGGACAUCUGCUGACAAGGGCAGUGUGAAUCUGCGAAGGGCUGGCACCCACCACAGAGACCUCACGUGUGUGCUUUGUAGGUGAGGCUGCCCAAGCUCUGUCAAAAGCUCUUGUUUCAAAUCUGUAUUUGAAUUAGUAACAUUUCAGGAAAUGUGACAUUAAAAAAAUAAACCUAAA